AGUGAACGCUGGCGGUAGGCCUAACACAUGCAAGUCGAACGGCAGCACAGUAAGAGCUUGCUCUUACGGGUGGCGAGUGGCGGACGGGUGAGGAAUACAUCGGAAUCUACUUUUUCGUGGGGGAUAACGUAGGGAAACUUACGCUAAUACCGCAUACGACCUACUGGUGAAAGCAGGGGAUCUUCGGACCUUGCGCGAUUGAAUGAGCCGAUGUCGGAUUAGCUAGUUGGCGGGGUAAAGGCCCACCAAGGCGACGAUCCGUAGCUGGUCUGAGAGGAUGAUCAGCCACACUGGAAAUGAGACACGGUCCAGACUCCUACGGGAGGCAGCAGUGGGGAAUAUUGGACAAUGGGAGCAGGACUGAUCAAGCCAUACCGCGUGGGUGAAGAAGGACUUCGGGUUGUAAAGCCCUUUUGUUGGGAAAGAAAAGCAGCAGGUUAAUACCCCGCUGUUCUGACGGUACCCAAAGAAUAAGCACCGGCUAACUUCGUG
rnacentral:rRNA from 1 species